GUGACAGACAGCAAGAGGGCAGGGGCCCUGUGGCCUGCGGUGACCAGCAAGGCCUGGGGAGCAGGGCAGGAAGAUGGAAGACGGCUGGACAAGAGGGCAAAUGGUCUAAGAUGACCCAUCAUCCUUGAAUUUUGCUACUGCAUUCUGAGCUGGAUGUGGUGGUGCACACCAGUAAUCCCAGCACUUGAGAGGCUGAGGCAGGAGGAUCACUGCAAGUUCCAGGCCAGCCUGGGCUACAAAGCGAAUUCAAAGUCAGCCUGAACUCCAUGCAAAAAACCCUGCCUCAGAAAACAAAAUAAAUGAAUAAAUAAGUAAGCAUUU